GAUGAACGCUGGCGGCGUGCCUAACACAUGCAAGUCGAGCGAACAGACGAGGAGUUUGCUCUGUUGACGUGUGCGGCGCACGGGUGUGUAACAUGUGGGCAACCUACCUAUAGGACGGGGACAAUUCCGGGACACCGGUGCUAACACCGGAGAAGAUCUCGAACCGCAUGGUUCGAUAGUGAAAGAUGGCUUUGCUGUUACUCAUAGAUGGAUCUGCGCCGUAUUAGCUAGUUGGUAGGGUAAAGGCUUACCAAGGCAACGAUAAGUAACCGAAGUGAGAGGAGGAUCGGCCACACUGGGACUGAGACACGGUCCAGACUCCUACGGGAGGCAGCAGUAGGGAAUCUUAGGCAAUGGGCGAAAGCCUGACCAAGCAACGCCGCGUGAGUGAUGAAGGUCUUCGGGUCGUAAAGCACUGUUAUGGGGGAAGAACAGCCGUGUAAUUAGACGUACACGUCGUGACGGUACCUGAUGAAAAAGCACCGGCUAACUACGUG
rnacentral:rRNA from 1 species